rnacentral:lncRNA from 1 species
CCAGAAGUCCAUCUACAACUUCUAAAAAAAUUCUAGAGAUUUGAAAAAAAGAUUCAGAUCAGUUAAGAAGAAGGUCUUCACGUGAGCUAGCACUCCUGAGAAGACCGAUCAGAUCGGGGCUUCGAGUGAAUUUUUUGUAGAGGCCAAACAUGUGUGCGGCUGUGAGCAACUAGUAAGGACCUUCUCUAUCAUAUUUUUAAUAGCGAUGAUUGUCAACUCAUGCUG